CUGAGAUGGGGGUUCUUGAGGUCCCCCAGGACUGAGAUGGGGCGUUUGGAACCUCCUUUUGGGGUGGGAUGAAGGUUCUUGGGGUCCCCCAGGACCGAGAUGGGGGUUUGGAACCUCAGUUUUGGGGUGGGAUGGAGGUUCUUGGGGUCCCCCAGAACCGAGAUGGGGGCGUUGUACCCCCUGGAUUGGGGUGGGAUGGAGGUUCUUGGGGUUCCCCAGGACUGAGAUGGGGCAUCUAGAACCUCCUUUUGGGGUGGGAUGAAGGUUCUUGGGGUCCCCCAGGACUGAAAUGGGGCGUUUGGAAUCUCCUUUUGGGGUGGGAUGAAGGUUCUUGGGGUCCCCCAGGACUGAGAUGGGGGUUUGGAACCUCCUUUUGGGGUGGGAUGGAGGUUCUUGGGGUCCCCCAGGACCGAGAUGGGGGUUUGGAACCUCAGUUUUGGGGUGGGAUGGAGGUUCUUGGGGUCCCCCAGAACCGAGAUGGGGGCGUUGUACCCCCUGGAUUGGGGUGGGAUGGAGGUUCUUGGGGUCCCCCAGGACUGAAAUGGGGCGUUUGGAAUCUCCUUUUGGGGUGGGAUGAAGGUUCUCGGGGUCCCCCAGGACCGAGAUGGGGGUUUGGAACCUCCUUUUGGGGUGGGAUGGAGGUUCUUGGGGUUCCCCAGGACCGAGAUGGGGGUUUGGAACCUCCUUUUGGGGUGGGAUGAAGGUUCUUGGGGUCCCUCAGAACUGAGAUGGGGGUUCUUGGGGUCCCCCAGAACAGAGAUGGGCUGUUUGGAACCUCCUUUUGGGGUGGGAUGGAGGUUCUUGGGGUCCCUCAGAACUGAGAUGGAGGUUCUUGAGGUCCCCCAGGACCGAGAUGGGGGUUUGGAACCUCCUUUUGGGGUGGGAUGAAGGUUCUUGGGGUCCCCCAGGACCGAGAUGGGGCAUUUGAAACCUCCUUUUGGGGUGGGAUGAAGGUUCUUGGGGCCACCCAGGACCGAGAUGGGGGUUUGGAACCUCCUUUUGGGGUGGGAUGAAGGUUCUUGGGGUCCCCC